AUGGGGGUGAGGGAGCCCGUGGCGAUGGAGAUACCGGCGGAGGAGGGCGCGGCGGCGAGGGUGCCGCCGCGGAUCAGGAGGAGGCUGCUCGAGGGCAGGGCCAGCGGCGGCGGCGGGCCGUCCAGCGCCGAGGAAAUCGAGGCCAAGCUCAAGGAGGCCGACCACCGGAGGCAGCAAUUCCACGAUUGGUUAUCCUGCAAAGCAAGGAAGAAGCCACGGAGCCCAUCGUGGUCGUCUCAAGAGGAAGAUUACGGACAGCGCCUUGAAGCCAGGCUUCAGGCAGCUGAGCAGAAAAGGUUAAGCCUCUUGGCAAAGGCACAGAACCGGUUAGCCAAGUUGGAUGAACUCCGACAAGCAGCAAAGAAUGAUGUGGAAAUGCGGUUUGAGAAGGAGAAGGAGGAACUUGAGACUAGAGUCGAGUCUCGUGUCCGACAGGCCGAGGAAAACCGUAUGCGCCUUCUGCAUGCAGAUAUGCAGAGGCGGGCCGCACUGAAGGAGAGAACAGAGAGGUCCCUCGUGCAGAAGGCGACAUCUGAGAGCAAGUAUACAGAGCGGGUGCGAUCUGCUAUCCUGGCAAAGCGUGCUGCUGCUGAGAAGAAACGGUUGGCGUUGUUAGAAGCUGAGAAGAGGAAGGCUCGUGCUCGGCUCAUGCAUAUUCGACAAGCAGCCAUGACUGUAAGCAGCCAGAGAGAAGCAGAGAGGAUUAAAUUGAAAGAACAUCUGGAUAGCAAACUUCAGAGGGCCAAGAGGAAGAGAGCUGAAUAUUUGAAGCAGCGAGGAAGUCCAUGCAGUUCUGCUCAUGCCGAUUACAUCAAGCAUGCCGAUUUUCUUUCAAGAAAGCUUGCAAGGUGCUGGAGAAGUUUUGUGAAGUCCAGGAAGACAACACUUGCCUUAGCUCAAGCUUAUGAUGCUUUGGGAAUUAAUGAAAAAUCUGUGAAGUCAAUGCCAUUUGAGGAAUUAGCUAUGUUGAUGGGAUCUCCCACAGCUCUUGAGGCUACAAAGGCAUUACUUGAUCGGUUCGAGAGGCGUUUGACUCUUUGUCAGUCAGCAAAUUCAUCAUCUGCAGAAAAUAUUGACCAUCUACUGAAACGCCUUGCGACUCCAAAGAGGAAGGCACCUCCGAGUAGGGACGGAAGAACAAGGGUUGCAGCAAAAAGGCCAGCAAGAACUUCUGAAACAAGCAGGUUGUCUAGAUAUUCACUGAGGGUGGUACUCUGUGCUUACAUGAUCCUGGCUCAUCCUAGUGCUGUUUUAAGUGGAGAUGGUGAGCAAGAGCAGCUACUCAUGGAGUCAGCAGCAAACUUUGUCAGGGAGUUUGAGCUAUUAGUUAAGACAAUACUCGAGGGACCAGGAAGAACCUCAAGGCAGCCAUCUCUUGAUGGUGCUGAAUCAUCUAGUUGCCAGAAGUCUUAUGAUGUUGCCAGCCAAAGUAAAUUCAAGACUCAGUUGGUUAAUUUUGACAAAGCGUGGUGCACCUAUCUUUACGGAUUUGUGGUGUGGAAAGUAAAAGAUGCAAGAUCAUUGGAGGGUGAUCUUGUUAGGGCUGCAUGCAAGCUUGAGCUGUCAAUGAUGCAAACAUGCAAGUUAACUGCCGACGGGCAGUCACACAACCUCACCCAUGAUAUGAAGGCGAUUCAGAAGCAGGUUUCUGACGAUCAAAAACUCCUAAGAGAGAAGGUUCAGCAUUUGAGUGGUGAUGCAGGCAUCGAGCGUAUGGACUCUGCUCUCUCAGAUGCAAGAUCAAAGUUCUUUGAAGCGAAGGAGAAUGGAAGUCCAUUGGCAGCACCUGUUGCAAACGUAUGUACCCCUCUGCGCAUUGAUUCAUCUGGAAAGCUCCCGCCUACUGAGGUCAAUAUGAAUUCCAAAACAGAUGCUGAAGGAUCAAGGUCUGUUGUGCGAUCCCUGUUUGGAGCUUCUGGAGCAUCAAGCAGCACAUCACCAGUGAAUCUGCCAACAGAGAAUGAGCAGAUGGUCAAUGAGAUGCUUCAUGAGGAUGGUGGUGCCAUUGCUGGCAAUUCUAAUGAUGCUCGUACCAUUGAGAAGGAUUUCCAAGACAAAGUGAGGGAAACAAUGGAGAAAGCUUUCUGGGAUGUGGUUACCGACUCGAUGAGAGGAGACAAACCUGACUACAGCCAACUGAUCAACCUGGUAAAGGAAGUGAGGGAUUCGUUGCACGACUUGGCUCCCAAGGAAUGGAAGGAGGAAAUCUAUGAGAACAUUGACCUCGAAAUUCUAUCCCAGGUACUCGAGUCAGGCUCCCAGGACACCCAAUAUCUGGGGCAGAUUUUGCAGUACUCUCUGGAUAUGGUCAGAAAGCUGUCUGCUGCGGCAAAGGAUGAUGAGAUGAAGGCAAGUCAUGACAAAUUAUUGAGUGAGUUGGCUGCAAGUUCUGAAGAUACUGAUAAUGGAGUCAGCUCGUUCGUCAUUGCUGUCAUCAAGGGCCUGCGGUUCACUCUGGAAGAAAUAAAGCAACUGCAAGUAGAAGUGAGCAAGGCAUAUGUUCAGCUGAUGCAACCGACGAUAAAAGGCUCUGCUGGAGUGGAGUACCUGCAGAAGGCUUUCGGCGAUCGCUAUGGACCUCCUGCCAAUGCGUCAGCUUCUCUCCCUGUAACUCUGCAGUGGAUUUCAGCAUCAAAGAGCAUCGUGGACGGAGAAUGGAGCGAACAUCUGGGCUCUCUUUCAGUUCUUCCAGCAGCAAAUCAUGCUCAGCCCCUUGUUACAGUGCUCCGAGCUGGCCAUGGAGCUCCAACAGCUGCUGUAGCUUCAGCAGGUAGUUCAGGUUUACCUGAAUGCAAGGGAGAAAAGAUUGACAAGCUUGUGAGGGUUGGCCUGUUGCAGCUUAUUAGUGGUAUGGAGGGAUUACAAUUGCAGUCAACUCCUGAGAGCUUCCAUCUCAACUUCCUGAGAUUGAGGGCCGUGCAGGGCCAAUUUCAAGAAGUGAUUGUGAUGGCUACGAGCAUGCUCGUCCUGCGUCAAGUCCUGAUGAGUGAGAAUUCUAAGAUCACUCCUCCGGAGCUGGAGACUGUCAUCUCAGAACUCUUCGGCGCUCUGGUGAAGCUGCUGGACAACUCCCCGGAGGCAGGCACUGAAGAGAUCGUGGAGGCGAUGAUGAGCGCGUCGGCCUCAGCCGGCUCUUUGUCGGACGCCAAGAUUCAGGCAAGGAGGCAGAUAAUAACCCGGGUGCUCCUGAAGAGCCUCCAAGCGGACGACGUCGUCUUCAAGAAGGUCUCCCGGGCGGUCCACUGCGCCUUCCGCGGGGUCCUCCUUGGCGGCAGCGGUGCCAAGGGCCAGAAGCUGGCGGAUGCAGCCCUACGCCGCGUUGGCGCGGGGAAGCUCGCCGACCGGGUGGUUAAGGCGGCUGAAGUGCUCAUCAGGGUGGCCACGGUCUCGGAGAAGGUCCACGGCCCGUGGUACAAAGCGCUCGCCUGA
rnacentral:rRNA from 1 species